CCGAUAGUGAACCAGUACCGUGAGGGAAAGGUGAAAAGCACCCCGGAAGGGGAGUGAAAUAGAACCUGAAACCGUGUGCUUACAAGUAGUCAGAGCCCGUUAAUGGGUGAUGGCGUGCCUUUUGUAGAAUGAACCGGCGAGUUACGAUUUGAUGCAAGGUUAAGCAGUAAAUGUGGAGCCGUAGCGAAAGCGAGUCUGAAUAGGGC
rnacentral:rRNA from 1 species